rnacentral:misc_RNA from 1 species
AAGUCGUAACAAGGUUUCCGUAGGUGAACCUGCGGAAGGAUCAUCACUUAAUCACUUGCUAUUAUGCAAACUAUAUUUGACCGGUCUACUUGAAGUCUUCGUACGGAUGAGCCGUAUCGGUCCUGUUGGCUCAGGACAGCUAGCCGUCCCUCGGCCCCCACGAGUGCUAGGUGAUACUUUUGCCGGGCUAGGCUACUAGUCCGACGAGGUUGAUUAACUAACAGUAUUAUUGAAACAGGGAAAUGUUCUGGCGGUUUAACCGUCAACCACUUGGUAUUGCGAGUAUUGAAAUGAUUGAACAGGGAAUGGACGGGGUAAAAGCCGUCGAAAUGUUACAAAACUUUCGGCAACGGAUCUCUCGGCUCUCC